GCGAUGGAGGCAGGGGCCCGGCUAGCCCUCCCUAGAGCCCUGGCCGUGGUCCCACUUGGGGACCUGACUCCCCUCCUUCAGGCUGGAAGAAAAGCACUAAAAUCGUUAACAGAGAUGUCUGCUCCUCGAGACCAGCAGCAACCUUCUACCAAGAUGUUUGCUUGAUUGCAGGAGCCUCGAGACCCCAGCCAUGAACCGCACUCAGGGACCGUGUGAGAAAGGAAUAGGGGUCCUGAUUGUGGCCAAAACCCUUCCUUUGACUC